UAUUGGCAUGCAAUGAAGGAAUCGCUCUCUGACCAAAUACGGUGUCCUAUAGGAUAUACUACACCCCUAAUGAUAUAGUCAAGUCUCGUUACGUUCUAGGAUCUCUGAGGAAUACAUACGAACGUGAUUUGACUCGUUGAAUCAACGUUUAGGCUACUGCCAAGGCAACUACACAGCUCCUCUUCUUGGGGACCGGCAAAAUUAAGGCAGUAUCCGGUUGCAUGGACGAGUAAAACAUUUGAACUCUUGGAAGGACACAAGUAAAGACAUUUUGCGCUAUCGCCACCUGCUGGAGAGGUGUGAGACAAGGACAAUGACCCAACACACCUCCAGGCUGUGUAAGGGCU